CCCAGGUGCUGUUCAGCUGACCCAGCAACCCUGUAUUUCCUGGGACCAGCUCUUUAGAUAGAGAAGCUUCAGUAAUGCCAGGUCCGAUUGCUUGGGAAGACUUCCACACGAGUCAGGCAUUUGCUGACUCUUAACACGAAGGAGAGACUGAGCCCCAGGUCCCGGGAAAAAGGCAGAGAGGCCACCAGUUUCUACAAAUCCCACAGGUCUGGAGAGACAAAAACUGGAAUUCAGGAGUGCCAAGUCAGCAAGGUCUAAGGGCCAGAUCCUGGAGAGAAGGUGCAGGGAGUCUGCCCAAUUUUUAAGAUAUGUAAGCAGAAG
rnacentral:lncRNA from 1 species